rnacentral:rRNA from 1 species
CGCCUGUUUAUCAAAAACAUGUCUUUUUGGGUUUUAUCUAAGGUUUGGCCUGCUCCAUGAUUUAUUUAAAUAGCCGCGGUAUUUUGACCGUGCAAAGGUAGCAUAAUCAUUAGUUUUUUAAUUGAAAGCUGGAAUGAAAGGUCGGAUGAGAAAAUAGCUGUCUCAUAUUAAUUUUAUUUGAAUUUUAUUUUUAAGUAAAAAAGCUUAAAUUUAAUAAAAAGACGAGAAGACCCUAUAGAGUUUAAUAGAUUUUGAAUUUAGUUGUUAAAGGGUUUAAUUAUUAUAAGUUUAAUAUAUAUUUUGUUGGGGUGACAUAAGAAUUGAAUGAACUUCUUUUUAUUUUAACAUUGAUUAAUGGUUAAUUGAUCCUGAUUUUUGGAUUUAAAGAAUAAAUUACCUUAGGGAUAACAGCGUAAUUUUUUUGGAGAGUUCUUAUCAAUAAAAAAGAUUGCGACCUCGAUGUUGGAUUAAAGUUAAAUUUUGGUGCAGAAGCUAGAAUUUUA